GAUGAACGCUGGCGGCGUGCCUAAUACAUGCAAGUCGAGCGAACGGACGAUAAGCUUGCUUCCCUGCUGUUAGCGGCGGGCGGGCGAGUAACACGUGGAUCACCUACCUCUAUGUCUGGGAUAACUUCGGGAAACCGUAUCUAAUACCGCAUAAUACUUUGAACCGCUGGGUGCAAAGGAUAUUGACGCCUUGCGCGACUGUAUUAGCCGAUGCUGCAUUAGCUAGUUGGCUUGGUAAAGGCUCACCAAGGCAACGAUGCGUAGCCGGCCUGAGAGGAUGAUCGGCCACACUGGAACUGAGACACGGUCCAGACUCCUACGGGAGGCAGCAGUAGGGAAUCUUCCGCAAUGGGCGCAAGCCUGACGGAGCAACGCCGCGUGAGUGAUGAAGGUCUUCGGAUCGUAAAGCUCUGUUAUUAGGGAAGAACAGAUGUGGAAGUAACUGUGCACGUCUUGACGGUACCUAAUCAGAAAGCCCCGGCUAACUACGUG
rnacentral:rRNA from 1 species